CGCCCCGCUCCCGCGUUGCCCCGCCCCGUCUGUCCCACAGGCCGUGAACGCCCGGAUGCUGCAAGUUAAACUUCGGUACCAAGAUUUUCUCAACCACCGAGACUUGGCUCUGCCCACGCCCUCUAGAAGCAUUCUCCAAAGGGACUGGCCUCCUUCCUACUCCGCAACCCCCUUACACGAGAUCGCCACGUGUGUAGCUCACUCAUCCUGCGCCACAGCCGCCUAAGGGAUGGAGAUGAGUUAGCCAAGGUCAGCUAGUCCAGUCAGCACCUCCAGGAAGGACCUCGCGGCAGAUACAGGGGACUUAACCUGUAUAGUCAAAGAUUUCCAGGUGGAUAAGAGAUGAGGCUGAGACUAGGCAUCUGCAGCAUAACCAGGAGUGAAGGCAGAGCUGAUUCUGGCUUGAGAGAUGAUGGGCUUUGCUGGGAGAGCCAGCUCUGAGUUACACAACCAGAAGAACACUUCAAUAGAUAACGCCAAGGGUACUGGCUGAGAUGUAGGGAUCAGAGGCCCACACCCAUGCUCAGUGCCCAACCAUGCCGAGGAUAAGUAAGCUCCUUUGGCAACCAGAAAGAAGAAGGAACCUUGUCUCAAAUGUUGCAUAGGACACACUUGUACUAAAAAAAAAAAUUUUAUUCAUUUGAAAUUCAAAUUUAGGAGGCAAGUGAGCUGAAGCUUAGAGUGUGAGAAGCAAUGUAGCAAGGACUAGGACAUCAGCUGGCACCAAAAAAUCUGGACUGGAAUCUUGGCUCUGCUGGGUCACCAGCUAACCUUGGACCUUUCUCUUAAACACAGUCUCUCCAUUUCUUCACCCAUAAAGUGGGACAAAUAGUCAUAUUAAUACCUACCUCAUAGUUUUUUUUUAUGAAGAUUAAAUGACUUGAUAUGUGUGGAGUGCACAGCAUAGGGCCUAACUCACAGUAUUAGCUCUUACUCUUUGAGUUUAAAAUUGCCCAGAUAUUCAUCUCAUAAUGACUAUUUUAAGCCAAAAGAACUUUUAUUUGGUUGAGUCUGAAUUGUAAUUUCCAAAUCAAGGUUUGUUUGCUUGUUUGCUUUUAACUGAAGGAAAUUUGGUGAUACAUAGUGGGACCCUACCUCUCAAUUUGUCUGGGACAAUCCACUUUAGGGUUGUUGUCCCGGCAUGAUUUUUUUUAAAGUACCCACUUCUUAUUCUAAAAAGUGUUCCAAUUUGGACAAUAGAACUUAUGGGUUAUCCUAUUACAGAGAUAUCGAGAAGUCACUCAUUUUUACACGAGUUUAGUGUGCACAUUUCAAUACCUGUCCUUUUCCCCCACAUACAUAAUCAUCACUAGAAUUUAAUUUCCUUAUGGAAGAACAAACUCAGCCUGUGUCCCACUACAGAUUGGUGUGUCCACUUAAUACAAAAAAAAUGGAAACUGAACAACCAGAAGAAACCUUCCCUAACACUGAAACCAAUAGUGAAUUUGGUAAACGCCCUGCAGAAGAUAUGGAAGAGGAACAAGCAUUUAAAAGAUCUAGAAACACUGAAGAGAAGUUUGAAUUAAGCAUGCUGCUUCAGAGCAAGUAUGGUGGGCAGUGACUGGAAAAGGAGGCAAGAAUAUUAAGGCUCUUCGUACAGACUACACUGCCAGUGUUUCAGUCCCAGACAACAGUGGCCCCAAGCGCAUAUUGAAUAUCAGUGCUGAUUUUGAAACAGUUGGAGAAAUUCUGAAGAAAAUCAUCUCCACCUUGGAAGAGCGCCUGCAGUUGCCAUCACCCACUGCAACCAGCCAGCUCCCACUUGAAUCUGAUGCUGUGGAAUGCUUAAAUUACCCGCACUAUAAAGGAAGUGACUUUGACUGACUGUGCGUUGAGGCUGUUGACUCAUCAGAAUCUAGCAGUAGGAAUUACUGGGGUCAAAGAUGCUAAAAUCAAAGAACUUCAAGAGAACACUCAAACAACCAUCAAGCCUUUCCAGGAAUGCUGUCCUCAUUCCACUAACAAAGUUGUUCUCAUUGGAGGAAAACCAGACAGGGUUGUAGCGUGUAUAAAGAUCAACCUUGAUCUUAUAUCUGAGUCUCCCAUCAAAGGAUAUUCCCAGCCUUAUGAUCCAAAUUUUUAUGAUAAAACCUAUGAUUUUGGUGGUUUUACAAUGUUUGAUGACCGCCAUGGACUCCGAGUGGGAUUUCCGACACGGGGAACAGAUGGUUUUGACAGAAUGCCUCUUGGUUGAGGUGGCAUCCCAUGCCUCCAUCCAGAAGAGAUUAUGAUGAUAUAAGAGAUUAUGAUGAUAUGAGCCCUCGUUGAGGACCACCUUUUCCUCCUACUGGAUGUGGUUGGGGUGGUAGCCGAGCUUGGAAUCUUCCUCUUCCUCCACCAUCACCACCUAGACGGGGAGACCUAAUGGCCUAUGACAGAAGAGGGAGACCUGGAGACUGUUACAACGGCAUGGUUGGUGUCAGUGCUGAUGAAACUUGGGACUCUGCAAUAGAUACAUGGAGCCCAUCAGAAUGGCAGAUGGCUUAUGAACCACAGGGUGGCUCCAGAUAUGAUUAUUCCUAUGCAGGGGGUUGUGGCUCAUAUGGUGAUCUUGGUGGACCUGUUACUACUACACAAGUAACUAUUUCCAAAGAUUUGGCUGGAUGCAGGCUGGAUCCUGGAUUGUUGGCAAAGGUGGUCAGCAGAUUAAACAAAUUUGUCAUGAGUCGGGAGCUUUGAUCAAAAUUGAUGAACCUUUAGAAGGAUCUGAAGAUCGGAUCAUUACCGUUACAGGAACAUAGGACCAGGUACAGAAUGCAUAUGCAUACUAUUUGCUCCAGAACACUGUGAAGAAGUAUUCUCAAAGUUUUUCUAAGACUGAUGAAGAAUCGAAGGAGUCCUGCAUCUUUUUUUUUUUUUAAAAAUCUGCUUCUGUUUAAAAAGCCAACAUUCCUCUGCUUCAUAGGUGUUCUGCAUUUGAGGUAUAGUGAAAUCCUUGCUCUUCAUCAGAUGUAAUGUUUUAGUUCCUUACAAACAGGGUUGGGGGGGAAGGGCAUGCAAAAACUAACACUGAAAUUUUGAAACAGCAGCAAAGUGAGUGGAUUUUACUUUUUGUCAUUGUUGGUGGUUUUAAAAAAUUCCCGCCAUGUAAUUAUUGUAAACACCUUGCUUUGUGGUCACUGUAACAUUUGGGAGACGGGACAGAAAUGAAAAGUAACAGUAGUCCACAUGUCCCUGGCAUCUGUUCAGAGCAGUAUGCAGAAUGUAAUGCUCUUUUGUAAGAAACAUUUUUAUGAUUUUUAAAAUAAAUUUAGUGAAUCUGUUUUUGGUGGUCAUUUUUGUUUAAGACAGUCAUUUUUAAAUGGUGGCUGAAUUUCCCACCCCACCCCUAAACUAAACAGUAAGUUUGAUUUUCAGCUCUUCUGUUGGAUAUAUAAGUGCAUCUCUUCUUGGACAUAGGCAAAAUAACUUGGCAAACUUAGUUCUGGUGAUUUCUUGGUUUGAGUGUCUAUUGCUGGGAAGAAAUUCCAUCAUAUAUAUUCAUGCUUAUAAUAAGCUGUGGAUUUUUUGUUUGUUUCUGCAAAUGCUUGCCCCUACUUUUCAA